GGGGGCGCACUGGUUUCGACUCGUAGUUUGAAACGCAGGCGGCAUGUCGAGGAUGGUUCGUUGGCCUCGUUAAAAUCCGGACCAAAAAAAAUAAAUGCAGAUCACCAAGAUCUCGCUCUCGCGGCUUAAUUGACCGUGAUGUUCGGAGCUGGACGCCUGCUACGGCGCCGAACAUGGACAGCAGGCUAAUCGGACGGCGGAGUGACCGCGCCGGCCGGUGAAGGAAUUUCGUGGUGGCUCGGGAGACGGAGUGUGCUGGCGCAGCCUUCGGCUCUCUAAAAAUAAAUCACCAGCUAAACAUGUAGAAGCUUGCGCAGAUGGCUUCGAGGACAGGGGUUCGACUCCCCUCGCCUCCACCU
rnacentral:tmRNA from 1 species